rnacentral:rRNA from 1 species
UACGUAGGUGGCGAGCGUUGUCCGGAAUUACUGGGUGUAAAGCGCGUGUAGGCGGGAGGCCAAGUCUGUGGUGAAAUCGCUCGGCUUAACUGGGCGGGGUCCAUGGAAACUGGUCACCUGGAGGUCGGUAGAGGCAAGUGGAAUUCCCGGUGUAGUGGUGAAAUGCGUAGAGAUCGGGAGGAACACCAGUGGCGAAGGCGGCUUGCUGGGCCGGACCUGACGCUGAGACGCGAAGGUGUGGGGAGCGAACGGG